rnacentral:sRNA from 1 species
CCGUCCAGCACUGCUGCGGCGCGAUGAAAUGGAUGUGGGUGUCCACCCCGCCCGCCGUGAGAACCAGGCCCUCGCCCGCCACUAUUUCGGUGCUCGCGGCGAUGGUCAGCCCCGGCGUCACGCCGUCCUGGGUGCCGGGGUUGCCCGCCUUACCGAUGGCCGAGAUGCGCCCGUUUUUGACGCCCACGUCGGCCUUGAUAACGCCCCAGUAAUCCAGAAUCAGCGCGUUGGUGAUCACGAGGUCGGGGACGUUGGCGUCGUCUCGGGUGGCGG